AAGUUUAUGGCAUAGGGGACACCGUGAUCAAGAAGGCGGUUCCCCCAGGGCGAGACUCUUCCAUUGCACUGAGGUUGGGUUGACCCUUGCGAUUAUCCCUAAUGUGGAUAACUCGGAUGCGUAAUUUUUGGUAUUAUUGUAUCUUGUAUCUAAUGUCAGUU